rnacentral:misc_RNA from 1 species
GAAACUAGGGAAUGAAAGAGCUCAAAUAGCUUCUAAACAGAAUAUCAGAGAACUAAUUUGCAAAUGACAAGAUAUGUGCAAGUGUAAAAUGACUUUCGAUGAUGACCAAGAAAAAUGCAAAGUAAUACACGAUAUCCCCAGUGGUUGGGUGGGUAGCUCCACUGAUUAUUGCAACCAAUGCUAUUGAAGCUAAAGAAAAGCUAUUCCAAGCCACCUCUUUGUCCGCCCUGCACCCUAGCUGCCUUCUCUUCUUUCAGCCUGUUCAGAAUUUGACGUACGUUGGGAUCAUAGAAACGAGCACGAACAUACUUCCUCUCCUUGGCUUGAAUUUCCUUAAUGACACUAGGAUAUGGAUUAGGAGGUGGUCUUUUUCCCUGAGCACGGGCAAUUUGUUUCAAUCUUUUAUAUGCCUUCUCUUUUGCCUCCCUCUCUACCUCAUAUUCCAUAUUGGCUAACUCCUCAGCGUCCUUCUCUUUAAGUCCCCGCUCCAUCAA